rnacentral:lncRNA from 1 species
CAAAUAACAAUAAAUCCAGAUUCCUACUUUUCCUGAUACACUGAGCUGGGCCUCCGACGUCCACUUGACUGAACCGUGGGAGCCCAUUACUCUGCAGCACAGGUUUUGCCAAGCUCCCAGAACUAUGUAAGGUGUGGCACCAGCAUCAUUAUCAUGCAUCACUGCUCAGCAAGGGUUUGAGUCUUGGCAACAUUCUUAUUCACAUCCUCCACUGAUGACUCAUACAUAUGUGAGGUUCCAGCCCGCGACAGACUCUUUCAGUACCUAAGGCCUCCUACACAAAGAUGAUCCUUGUGGGCCAGCAGCAUGGCUGUCACCUAGGGAUUUGGAAAUGCAGACUCCUGGUUCGAAUUCGACAAUCAAAAAGAUUCAAAGUAGGCUGAUUCAAGAUGAAGAAAUGCUGUGGCACAGCCCAUAUCUCUUGGCCUGCCACAUUGGUAAAGCAGUGAGAGGGGGCAGUUUGAUGAAAGACAGAAGGUGAAGCAGAGUGGAGCCCGGUAUUGGAUCCAGAGCUGGUGAAGUCUUGCUUCCCAGGGGCUGUCAAGUCCUUUGAAGGAUUUAGCAGAUCUACACAACAACUUCCACACUUCUCCAGGGACAAUUCAAAUUUCACAGCACUUCCUCAAAGGAACCUGUUCACCUGGAAUUUAGGAGUCACAGGUACCACUCUGGGUACAGAAAAGGAGGAGCAUCUUGCAAUUUGCACAUCACACGAAUCUGCAUCUCCAUCUAUCCAUCUAUCUGAAAUCAUCAUAAGGAAAAAGAGGCGGAUCAGACCAACUAUAGCUUGGUCUGUGCUAUAGUUUGUGGCUCAGAGUUCAUCUUUUCUUAAUCCUCUUCAACUUUAUGUGAAUGGGAACUUUGAACCCUGUAGGACGCUACUUGAUCUGUGGGUAUAGACAGUGUGAGAUCAUCCUCAAGUUACCUGCUGUGCUCUCCAAAGGACACAGACUGAGACCCAUGUGCGUCACCGCUCUUUAAGAUGAACAGGCAGAAAGGGCCAUGUCCCUUUGGACCUCUAGAGUCCAGACUGUCAUCUUCUUGCAAGCCUCUUCACCUCCGCAGGACCAGCUUUGCUUGUCAAGACACAAGACCAAUCCUACCUUCAUGGAACAGCGAUGAAGCUGCCUUGUAAACUCCAAGGAUCUCUCACCAAAGCUGAAGCACAUUAUGUCAUCUAUAAUGGUUUUCCAAUAAGCUUCAGGGAUCCUCCCGUUUCUACACCCCUCCCCCCAUAACAAAGAAAUCUCACAUCAGUGGUGGCGAUCCAAACUCAUGACCUCAUGCUUGCACAGUGGCUACUUCAUCACCUGGGCCAUCCCCCCAGUCCUUGCAUUCUCACAUAUCAAAACAUGCAACAUCUUAAAGUUGCUCAGAGAGUAAUGCCUCUUACCUGACGGCCUGAAGUCAAAAGAAGAUGUGUCUUGCCAGUGAAAAGGAUGGACCCAUGGGAGGCAGCAGAGGAGGCAGAAAAGCGCCUGCAGUUUGAGUGGUACCAUCUUAGGAGCUGAGCAGUGGCUUCAGUUUGAUGUUCUUCAGAGCAGAUAAUUAAAAGAAAAGAAAUACAAUGAAUGUACUGAAGUGCCCAGUAAUGUUAACAGUGAAACAUGUAUUGCUUAUUCAGAGAAAGCUGGC